AGAUGCAUUUUGCGGCAUGGAAGAGAGGAAGAAUGGUUUUUAGAGAGUUGCUGAACGAACUCGUUUAAUGGCCGUAGCAAUGGUGGACAAAAUUACAUCAUGCACUGAAGAAAACUUAAUUGAGGCACUUGUAAGCAAAAAGAAAAUUUACAAGAUGAAACAAUUGCUCAGACCCUGGUCUUCACAUUUACUUGGGCAAAGCAAUGAACGACAAGUUAUUAUCAUUCAAUGAUAGAAAUUUCAUGUAGGCACUUGUUCAAAAAGAAAUUUCUCCAAAUGAAACAACAAUUGCUAAAUCUUUUGGUUUCCACAUUUACUUGCCAUGCAAAUUUCUAUUCGACCAUGGUUUCAGAUUUCUAUCGUAGAACAAAUAUGGAAGAGGGGAGGGAUAAAUGUAGGAGAUUAUGUACUCAAAAGGAUUCAAAUGGGAGCUUCUCAAAUUACAGUGGAUGCCCUCUAUGAAAUCAUUUGAUAAUUCAUUAAGCUGUGAGCCAAGUUUAAGAUGCCAAGAAUUUGCAGAAGAAUCAAGGUUGAAUUAUGGUGUAUUAAGAAGUUUAAGAAUUAAGAAAUUUGCAGAUUGAGGUAUCAUGGUGGAAAAAGUUGACAGACUUGGAAAUAUCAUGUAUUACCUAUGGCCGUAUAUCUUAAGUGCAGGAUUUUGUCUUCCAGAAGAAGGAAAUUAUGGGUUUUAGGAGAGUAGUAGGAAGAACUCAGUUAACGAGAUGCAUUUUGUGGCAUGGAAGAGAGGAAGAAUGGUUUUAUGAGAGUUUCUGAAUGAAUUCAAUUAAUGGUUGGUUAUGCUUUCUCAAAGUUGCUCUCUGUUCUUUCUUUAAUGCUUGAUGUUUAAUGUGAAAGCAUAUCUGAAGAAAGCUGGCUCUGUUAUUUCUUGACGGUUGCUAACUAUGUUGAGAAAUUCAAUGAAUUUUCUGUUAAACAUUUGAGGCCGUAGCAAUGGAGGAUGAAAUUACAUUGUGCACUGAAGAAAACUUGAUUGAGGCACUUGUAAACAAAAAGAAAAUUUACAAGACGAAACAAUUGCUCAAACCCUUGUCUUCAAAUUUACUUGUGAAGCAUUUUGCCGUAUGGAAGAGAGGAAGAAUGGUACUAGGAGAGUAGUCGAAAGAAGUUAAUUAAUGAAUUUAAGAUUGGCAGGGUAAAUACUGGAGGCCAUAGAAAUUGGUCAAGGCACUUGUAACAAAAAGAUAAUCUGCCAGAUGAAACAAGUGCUCACUCCCUGGUUUUCACAUUUGCAAUUCGGUUAUGGGAAAGAGGUAGAAUGACGUUAGGAGAGUAGUCGAAAAACCUUAACCAAUGAGUUGAUUUACUAGUUCAAUGGCAUCCUAUAUAUGCUGAGAAUUUACAAUUUCUGUCACUCAGGAGAAGAAAUGAAGGUCCAAUUUUUAUCAUUCAAUAGUAGAACUUCAUGGAGGCACUUAUUAACAAGAAGAAACUUUUUCCUAAUGAAACAAGUGUUGAAUCUUCUGGUUUUCACAUUUUCUUGGUGGGCUCUAUAAUAUUAUCUCCUAUUUUCUUCUUGAAUUAGCAUCAUCACUGUCGUUUGUAGUCUAAUAAAUAAUGGAAAAUGAU